GAUGAACGCUGGCGGCGUGCCUAAUACAUGCAAGUCGAGCGAGAGAUUACUUUUAGAUUCUUUCGGGAUGAAGAAAGUAGUGGAAAGCGGCGGACGGGUGAGUAACGCGUGGGCAACCUACCUUUUACAGGGGGACAACAUUUUGAAAAAGAUGCUAAUACCGCAUAAGCAGUAAGUACCGCAUGGUACAAAUUGGAAAACUACGGUGGUAAAAGAUGGGCCCGCGUCUGAUUAGCUAGUUGGUGAGAUAACAGCUCACCAAGGCGACGAUCAGUAGCCGACCUGAGAGGGUGAUCGGCCACAUUGGGACUGAGACACGGCCCAAACUCCUACGGGAGGCAGCAGUAGGGAAUAUUGCACAAUGGGGGAAACCCUGAUGCAGCGACGCCGCGUGAAGGAAGAAGGUUUUCGGAUCGUAAACUUCUAUCAGCAGUGAAGACAAUGACAGUAACUGACUAAGAAGCCCCGGCUAACUACGUGCCAGCAGCCGCGGUAAUACGUAGGGGGCAAGCGUUAUCCGGAAUUACUGGGUGUAAAGGGUGCGUAGGCGGUAAUGCAAGUCAGAUGUGAAAUUCCUGAGCUCAACUCAGGGCGUGCAUUUGAAACUGCAUAACUAGAAUACAGGAGAGGUAAGUGGAAUUCCUAGUGUAGCGGUGAAAUGCGUAGAUAUUAGGAAGAACACCGGUGGCGAAGCGGCUUACUGGACUGAGAUUGACGCUGAUGCACGAAAGCGUGGGGAGCAAACAGG
rnacentral:rRNA from 1 species